UUUUUCGAUCGGGUGUAGGGUCUGAAAUAACUCAUAAAUUGGAGUGUUGUCUAUCAGCUUCAUCUUGUGUUAUUGGUCGAGACUGGAACAGCACUACAUCU